rnacentral:rRNA from 1 species
CAGUCGCCGCGGUAAUACGUAGGUGGCAAGCGUUGUCCGGAAUUAUUGGGCGUAAAGGGCUCGCAGGCGGUUUCUUAAGUCUGAUGUGAAAGCCCCCGGCUCAACCGGGGAGGGUCAUUGGAAACUGGGAAACUUGAGUGCAGAAGAGGAGAGUGGAAUUCCACGUGUAGCGGUGAAAUGCGUAGAGAUGUGGAGGAACACCAGUGGCGAAGGCGACUCUCUGGUCUGUAACUGACGCUGAGGGGCGGAAGCGUGGGGAGCGGACAGGAUUAGAUACCCCUGUAGUCCCUGUCUCUUAUAC